UGGCCGCUUCCUCUCUUUCAUCGAGUCCCGCGCAUCGGGUCUGUUCGGAAUCGUUUGACGGAAGCGCGGAACACACGUGAGCCGAUUCGUGUAGCGCAGUGCUGAUAUCGGAAGAACACAC